rnacentral:rRNA from 1 species
AACGAACGCUGGCGGCAUGCCUAACACAUGCAAGUCGAACGAGACCUUCGGGUCUAGUGGCGCACGGGUGCGUAACGCGUGGGAACCUGCCCUUAGGUUCGGAAUAACUCCCCGAAAGGGGUGCUAAUACCGGAUAAUGUCUUCGGACCAAAGAUUUAUCGCCUUUGGAUGGGCCCGCGUUGGAUUAGCUAGUUGGUAGGGUAAAAGCCUACCAAGGCGACGAUCCAUAGCUGGUCUGAGAGGAUGAUCAGCCACACUGGGACUGAGACACGGCCCAGACUCCUACGGGAGGCAGCAGUGGGGAAUAUUGGACAAUGGGCGAAAGACUGAUCCAGCAAUGCCGCGUGAGUGAUGAAGGCCUUAGGGUUGUAAAGCUCUUUUACCCGGGAUGAUAAUGAUAGUACCGGGAGAAUAAGCUCCGGCUAACUCCGUG